GUAUCACACAAAUUAUUGUGCGUUGUGCAAGAAAGAUAAUCUUGAACUUGGUAAAUAAAAAGGAAUGGAGUCUUGUACGUAGUUUCUUAAUUACAAGUCCAGCGACCGACUCCAAUAUAAAGAAAAAAGUAAUUAACUAGCUAUGGCAUAAGCCAAUAAUAAUAUAGUGCAAGUGAUCACAGGGCCUGCAGCAAAAGCUUUCAUUUACGGUUAGCAGACAUUCCAACUGGAGCCAUAGGAUGUGGGUAUGGAGGCGGAGGAGCCAUAGCCCGGCGGCCAGCAUAGUUCAUUUCAUUAUGCACACAUGGACCUCCAGGUGUGG
rnacentral:misc_RNA from 1 species